GCGGAACGUCCUGGUUGGCGUCUGCGGUGGACACCUCCUCCCAGCGGGCACCGCCCCCACCCCGCUCUCUAGGGCAGGCCUCAGCUUCUCCCUUCUUUCAAACAGAGGUAUAUACCCAGAAGACCCAAAUGCAGGGGUUCCAUGAGAUAUUAACACAAGCAUGUUCCCAGCGGCUUUAGUCACAGCCCAAACGUAGAAGCAGCCUGCCUGUCCAGCCACAGCUGACAUACCGCUUUCUGUAAGCUGAAGGUGUCUAAUGUGAUGGCCAUGUACCUGUGUGCUGCUGCACAUGAGAGGAUGAAAAAAGAGAGCAAACCUGUCACCUGUAGUGGAUGAACCUCGAGGACUCUGCUCAGUGAAGUACGCCAGACACAAACGGGCAAAUACUGUGUGAUUCCUCAUAUAAGAGGUCCCGAGAGGAGCACAUGGGACGUAAAAAGGCAGGUGGUGGCGGAGUUUGGCAUUUGAGGCCCAGCUGGCUAACGUCUGAACCAGUCCAACCCGAGUGGAGGGCAAAAGGGACUUGUCGAAGCCCUCUGCCGGGACCAGCCACACAGGGCUGUGUCAGGGUCAUGGGGAGGCCUCACUUCAACCCAAGGAAGGCCCAGCCUCCCUUGCCUCACCCCUCCACCACCCCCAGCCCCACCCAGCCACCACCUCAGGCACAGCCCAUGUGCAGGGCAGGGACUCCACACCAGGCUCCAACCCACUAGGAGCCAGUGGGCUGGGCGGGGGCUGCAGGGUUCCGGCCCAGUGGAUGCCUGGCCAAGGACAAACCGAUUCAAAGCUUCUUCUCUUACCUCUUGGAUUCAGGAAGCCAAAAACUCAAGAAGUCCCCAAGUUGAAACAAUAUGUUAUUUUAAGGGAAAGGGCAGCAGGU